rnacentral:rRNA from 1 species
UACGGGGGGGGCAAGCGUUGUUCGGAAUUACUGGGCGUAAAGGGCUCGUAGGCGGCCAACUAAGUCGGACGUGAAAUCCCCAGGCUCAACCUGGGAACUGCGUCUGAUACUGGAUGGCUUGAAUCCGGGAGAGGGAUGCAGAAUUCCAGGUGUAGCGGUGAAAUGCGUAGAUAUCUGGAGGAAUACCGGUGGCGAAGGCGGCAUCCUGGACCGGCAUUGACGCUGAGGAGCGAAGGCCAGGGGAGCAAACGGG